rnacentral:rRNA from 1 species
CCGGCGCACGGGUGAGUAACAUGUAUGGAACCUGCCCGCAGCAGGGGGAUAAGCGGAAGAAAUUCCGUCUAAUACCGCGUAACACCGCGAGGGGCAUCCCUCGGCGGUUAAAGAUUCAUCGGCUGCGGAUGGCCAUGCGGCGCAUUAGCUAGUCGGCGGGGUAACGGCCCACCGAGGCGACGAUGCGUAGGGGUUCUGAGAGGAAGGUCCCCCACACUGGUACUGAGACACGGACCAGACUCCUACGGAAGGCAGCAG